UGGGGAAUAUUGCGCAAUGGGCGAAAGCCUGACGCAGCGACGCCGCGUGAGGGAUGAAGGUUUUCGGAUCGUAAACCUCUGUCAGAAGGGAAGAAACCGCACUGUGCUAAUCAGCAGUGCCUUGACGGUACCUUCAAAGGAAGCACCGGCUAACUCCGUGCCAGCAGCCGCGGUAAUACGGAGGGUGCAAGCGUUAAUCGGAAUUACUGGGCGUAAAGCGCACGUAGGCUGCUUUGUAAGUCAGGGGUGAAAUCCCACGGCUCAACCGUGGAACUGCCUUUGUUACUGCUUAGCUUGAAUCCGGGAGAGGGUGGCGGAAUUCCAGGGGUAGGAGUGAAAUCCGUAGAUAUCUGGAGGAACAUCAGUGGCGGAGGCGGCCGCCUGGACCGGUAUUGACGCUGAGGUGCGAAAGCGUGGGGAGCAAACAGG
rnacentral:rRNA from 1 species